rnacentral:lncRNA from 1 species
AGUGAGUUUGGGCGACGGAGAAGAAAGAGUGGUAGCGAUGGGGAGAGACGCGUUUGAGAGAAGAGGGAUUGAGAGAGACGAUUCCAUUUUUGCUUUUCUUUCUUUAUUUUCUUUUUUUUCAAUUUAUUAUUAAAUAGAGUAAUUAGUUUUAAAAACAUUAUAAAAAAGAAAGGAUUCCUUUAAUUUUCCUAGGUACAGCCCAUUAAUAUUUUCAUUUCCCAUUCUCUUUUUGAAGAAACCAACGGCCAGGGAUUUGGGAUUAAUUAGGGAACUCUAUCAAUUUUCUUUUAUUUUAGUUUUUAUUUUAAUCUUUUUUAAUUUACCUUAGUUUAUGUAUUUAAGUUAG